AGCUGGCCAGGAGCCCCACAGCCCGCCAGUCCUGGCUGCAAGCAGCCAUGGCUGGCAGACGAUCACAAAAACAGAGUUAGGAGAGCACUUGCGAGGAGCCCUGCUUCUGUCCUGAAUAUUUUACUGGUGAAGAGGAUAAAGAGAAAUCUGUUUACCCACCCCUCUGGUAAUUUUGUCAAGUGUCUUGCUCCUGAAAUUUUGGGCUGGCUCCUACAUCCAAAGAAAAUUGGUCAAGGCCUAAUGUACACAAUGGAUGGAAAUUCAGUAGGUGCCACGGCUCCAUAAGGAUCACAAAAUUUCCAGCUCUUUCAGAAACAGAUGGCAAGACAGCUAAAUUGAACCUCCUGCAUUCCGAGGCAGAAAGUCCCCGAAUACCAGUUACAGGGAAGGACAGCACGAGAGGGCUAUUGCCUUUGGACUCUGCUCAUUGGCUUUCCAGAGGCAUCUGGCUGGUCACUGUGGUUUUCCCUCUGCCGUGUCUGCAAGGCAUUGAAUUAAGAGGAAGUAAAUCAUCUAAGCAUCCAUCAAGACAUCAUGAUGUGGAUCGGUAACUGGUUGAAGGACAGGAAACAGAGAGUAGGAAUAAAUGGACAGUUUUCACAAUGGAGCAUGUUGGGAAGAGUUUACUGCAAAUUCCGGAUGAACACUUUAUGGAAAUGGAAUUUGUAUACUCAUCAUACUUAAAACAGGAAAUCUCUUUUCCUUGCAUGGUUCCUAAGAAAAGAUCCAACGUAACGAACAAUGUGCUGUGAUUAAGAGGUGUCUGUAAAAGAUGCAGACUUCUUUAUUUGGAAAAAUUUGCUCGAAGACCCACAGCAUAACAAUGAAAGUACAACUCUCAGGAUGUGUGGUGGAACCCUGCUUUUAAUAGAACUCCAAAGUUGUUUAGCCUUUACCAAACUCUGACAUUUUGAUAGUCCUCUUGGGUCCAUUUAAGUUCAAUGAACCAAGGAAUUAAGGAGGAGGGUGCAUUUCAAUGCUGUUUCUACUGUUUGAUUUCAUGAUCGCCUCAACAUCUAGAUCACCUACAAAUAAUUCGUUUGUCUGUUUCUGUUAAGUGUGUAAGUUGAAACUGCAUGCCAGUCUUUUAAAUAAUUAUUUUUGAACUGCAUAACAUGCUGUAAUAAAGUAGAAGGCAAUUUGAACUAA